rnacentral:piRNA from 1 species
UGAGAAGUGGCUCAUCUGAGAUGGGUGUGG